ACAAACACUCUGGAAUGGCGUCCCGGUCCGCCCUCACGGGCGUGCACUGGAAUCGCCGGUUUCCGAUCAAAUACAGCCAGCGCCCUUCACCGGGUGUCUGGUAAGGAGAUAAAGUUUACCCUCACAAACCACAUGGUCUUAACAGGCGCUAUCACUUGAAUGUUUUUGCAUGGAAUCUUAUUAGAAGAUAUUCAAUUCCAUUUUAUUGGCUUUAUUAACUGAGAUAAUGGCUAACAGAGACAAACGGGGGCAUUCGUAUUGCUCCGUGAGAGGUGAAAUUCUUGGACCGUAUCAAGACGGACUACAGCGAAUGUAUUUGCCUAGAAUGUCUUCAUUAAUCAAGAACGAAAGUCAGAGGUUCGAAGGCGAUCAGAUACCGCCCUAUUCUGACCGUAAACGAUGCCAACUAGCGAUCCGCCGGGGAAUUUUGCCCUGGUGGGAGCUCCCGGAAAGAAAGCUUCCGGUCCGGGGGAAAAUGGAUGCAAGCUGAUACUUUAGGAAUUACGGAAGGGCCCACCAGUAGUGGAGCCUGCGG
rnacentral:rRNA from 1 species